rnacentral:rRNA from 1 species
AAGCUCGUAGUUGAACCUUGGGCCUGGCUGGCCGGUCCGCCUCACCGCGUGUACUGGUCCGGCCGGGCCUUUCCCUCUGUGGAACCCCAUGCCCUUCACUGGGUGUGGCGGGGAAACAGGACUUUUACUUUGAAAAAAUUAGAGUGCUCCAGGCAGGCCUAUGCUCGAAUACAUUAGCAUGGAAUAAUAGAAUAGGACGUGUGGUUCUAUUUUGUUGGUUUCUAGGACCGCCGUAAUGAUUAAUAGGGACAGUCGGGGGCAUCAGUAUUCAAUUGUCAGAGGUGAAAUUCUUGGAUUUAUUGAAGACUAACUACUGCGAAAGCAUUUGCCAAGGAUGUUUUCAUUAAUCAGGAACGAAAGUUAGGGGAUCGAAGACGAUCAGAUACCGUCGUAGUCUUAACCAUAAACUAUGCCGACUAGGGAUCGGACGAUGUUAUUUUUUGACUCGUUCGGCACCUUA